CACCACUGCAGUGGCUGCAACGAGGUC
rnacentral:sRNA from 1 species